rnacentral:rRNA from 1 species
CCCUUAGAUGCUCUGGGCCGCACGCGCGCUACACUGACCAAUGCAACGAGUUUCUUUCCUUGGCCGACAGGUCUGGGCAAUCUUUGAACAUUGGUCGUGAUGGGGAUAGAUUCUUGUAAUUUUUGAUCUUCAACGAGGAAUUCCUAGUACACGCAAGUCAUCAGCUUGCAUGGAUUACGUCCCUGCCCUUUGUACACACCGCCCGUCGCUGCCUCCGAUUGAAUGAUCCGGUGAAUAAUUCGGACUGACGCUUUGAGUGGUUUCCACUCUUUGUGUUGGGAAGUCUAGUAAACCUUAUCAUUUAGAGGAAGCAAAAGUCGUAACA